CAUUGAUGAACGCUAGCUACAGGCUUAACACAUGCAAGUCGAGGGGCAGCAUGGUCUUAGCUUGCUAAGGCCGAUGGCGACCGGCGCACGGGUGAGUAACACGUAUCCAACCUGCCGUCUACUCUUGGACAGCCUUCUGAAAGGAAGAUUAAUACAAGAUGGCAUCAUGAGUCCGCAUGUUCACAUGAUUAAAGGUAUUCCGGUAGACGAUGGGGAUGCGUUCCAUUAGAUAGUAGGCGGGGUAACGGCCCACCUAGUCUUCGAUGGAUAGGGGUUCUGAGAGGAAGGUCCCCCACAUUGGAACUGAGACACGGUCCAAACUCCUACGGGAGGCAGCAGUGAGGAAUAUUGGUCAAUGGGCGAGAGCCUGAACCAGCCAAGUAGCGUGAAGGAUGACUGCCCUAUGGGUUGUAAACUUCUUUUAUAAAGGAAUAAAGUCGGGUAUGGAUACCCGUUUGCAUGUACUUUAUGAAUAAGGAUCGGCUAACUCCGUGCCAGCAGCCGCGGUAAUACGGAGGAUCCGAGCGUUAUCCGGAUUUAUUGGGUUUAAAGGGAGCGUAGAUGGAUGUUUAAGUCAGUUGUGAAAGUUUGCGGCUCAACCGUAAAAUUGCAGUUGAUACUGGAUAUCUUGAGUGCAGUUGAGGCAGGCGGAAUUCGUGGUGUAGCGGUGAAAUGCUUAGAUAUCACGAAGAACUCCGAUUGCGAAGGCAGCCUGCUAAGCUGCAACUGACAUUGAGGCUCGAAAGUGUGGGUAUCAAACAGGAUUAGAUACCCUGGUAGUCCACACGGUAAACGAUGAAUACUCGCUGUUUGCGAUAUACUGCAAGCGGCCAAGCGAAAGCGUUAAGUAUUCCACCUGGGGAGUACGCCGGCAACGGUGAAACUCAAAGGAAUUGACGGGGGCCCGCACAAGCGGAGGAACAUGUGGUUUAAUUCGAUGAUACGCGAGGAACCUUACCCGGGCUUAAAUUGCAGAUGAAUUACGGUGAAAGCCGUAAGCCGCAAGGCAUCUGUGAAGGUGCUGCAUGGUUGUCGUCAGCUCGUGCCGUGAGGUGUCGGCUUAAGUGCCAUAACGAGCGCAACCCUUGUUGUCAGUUACUAACAGGUUCCGCUGAGGACUCUGACAAGACUGCCAUCGUAAGAUGUGAGGAAGGUGGGGAUGACGUCAAAUCAGCACGGCCCUUACGUCCGGGGCUACACACGUGUUACAAUGGGGGGUACAGAGGGCCGCUACCACGCGAGUGGAUGCCAAUCCCCAAAACCUCUCUCAGUUCGGACUGGAGUCUGCAACCCGACUCCACGAAGCUGGAUUCGCUAGUAAUCGCGCAUCAGCCACGGCGCGGUGAAUACGUUCCCGGGCCUUGUACACACCGCCCGUCAAGCCAUGGGAGCCGGGGGUACCUGAAGUGCGUAACCGCGAGGAGCGCCCUAGGGUAAAACUG
rnacentral:rRNA from 1 species